AAAUUGUGUGAGUGUUUAAAUAUGGUCGCUAGUGUUUACAUGUGGUCGAUAGUGUUUAAAUAUGGUCGAUAGUGUUUAAAUGUGGUCGAUAGUGUUUAAAUGUGGGCGAUAGGGUUUAAAUGUGGGCGAUAGUGUUUAAAUGUGGGCGAUAGGGUUUAAAUGUGGUCGAUAGUAUUUGAAUGUGGUCGAUAGCGUGUAAAUAUGGUUGAUAGUGUUUAAAUAUGGUCGAUAGUGUUUGAAUGUGGUCGAUAGUGUUUAAAUGUGGUGGAUAGUGUUUAAAUAUGGUUGAUAGUGUUUAAAUAUGGUCUAUAGUGUUUAAUUGUGGGCGAUAGUGUUUAAAUGUGGUCCAUAGUUGAAUGUGGUCGAUAGUGUUUAAAUAUGGUUGAUAGGGUUUAAAUGUGGUCGAUAGGGUUUAAAUGUGGUCGAUAGGGUUUGAAUGUGGUCGAUAGUGUUUAAAUAUGGUCGAUAGUGUUUAAAUGUGGUCGAUAGUGUUUAAAUAUGGUCGAUAAUUUAAAUGUGGUCGUUAGUUUAAAUGUGGUCGAUAGUGUUUGAAUAUGGUCGAGAGGGUUUUACAUGUUUAAAUGUGGUUGAUAGGGUUUACAUGUUUAAAUGUGGUCGAUAGUGUUUAAAUGUGGUCGAUAGUGUUUAAAUGUGGUCGAUAGGGUUUACAUGUUUAAAUGUGGUCGAUAGUGUUUAAUUGUGGUCGAUAGUGUUUAAAUGUGGUCCAUAGUGUUUAAAUGUGGUCGAUAGUGUUUACAUGUGGUCGAUAUUGUUUAAAUGUGAUCGAUAGUGUUAAAUGUUCUUUUCCCUCACUCUCCACCUCAUCCCUAACUCUCCACCUCAAGCUGGUGUGUAGUGAGCGUUCUGGCACCGAUUGGCUGCCGUGCAUCACCCAAGUGGGUGCUACAUAUUGGUGGUGGUUAGUGAGGUCCCCCCUUCACUUUAGGCGUCUUUGAGUGUUAUUAAUUAUUAUUCUUCAUGUUUAACCUCUGUUUUCCUUUUAUUCCUAGUCUGUUUUACAUAGUUUUGAAUGAUGACUAUAUGCUUCUGUAAGGUGAC
ensembl:lncRNA